rnacentral:rRNA from 1 species
AUUGAACGCUGGCGGCAGGCCUAACACAUGCAAGUCGAACGAGUGGCGGACGGGCGAGUAAUGUCUGGGCAACUGCCUGAUGGAGGGGGAUAACUAAUGGAAACGGUAGCUACUACCACACACCAUCAGAUGUGCCCAGAUGGGAUUAGCUUGGUGGUGGGGUAACGGCUCACCAAGGCGACGAUCCCUAGUGGGUCUGAGAGGAUGACCAGCCACACUGGAACGGAGACACGGUCCAGACUCCUACGGGAGGCAGCAGUGGGGAAUAUUGCACAAUGGGCGCAAGCCUGAUGCAGCCAUGCCGCGUGUAUGAAGAAGGCCUUCGGAUUGUAAAGUACUUUCAGCGGGGAGGCGUUACCCACAGAAGAAGCACCGGCUAACUCCGUGCCAGCAGCCGCGGUAAUUC